rnacentral:rRNA from 1 species
UAGCUGAGGACUCUGGCGAACUGCCGGUGAACAACGGAGGAAGGUGGGGAUGACGUCAAGUCAUCAUGGCCCUUAUGUCCAGGGCUACACACGUGCUACAAUGGGUGAGACAGAGUGACGCGAAGCCGCGAGGUGGAGCAAAUCGCAGAAAAUCAUCCGUAGUUCGGAUUGGAGUCUGAAACCCGACUCCAUGAAGGUGGAAUCGCUAGUAAUCGCGCAUCAGCAUGGCGCGGUGAAUACGUUCCCGGGCCUU